rnacentral:rRNA from 1 species
UUCGGGGUUAGUGGCGCACGGGUGCGUAACGCGUGGGAAUCUGCCCUUUGCUUCGGAAUAACAGUUAGAAAUGACUGCUAAUACCGGAUGAUGUCUUCGGACCAAAGAUUUAUCGGCAAGGGAUGAGCCCGCGUAGGAUUAGGUAGUUGGUGGGGUAAAGGCCUACCAAGCCGACGAUCCUUAGCUGGUCUGAGAGGAUGAUCAGCCACACUGGGACUGAGACACGGCCCAGACUCCUACGGGAGGCAGCAGUGGGGAAUAUUGGACAAUGGGCGCAAGCCUGAUCCAGCAAUGCCGCGUGAGUGAUGAAGGCCUUCGGGUCGUAAAGCUCUUUUACCAGGGAUGAUAAUGACAGUACCUGGAGAAUAAGCUCCGGCUAACUCCGUGCCAGCAGCCGCGGUAAUACGGAGGGAGCUAGCGUUGUUCGGAAUUACUGGGCGUAAAGCGCACGUAGGCGGCGACACAAGUCAGAGGUGAAGCCCGGGGCUCAACCCCGGAACUGCCUUUGAAACUAGGUUGCUAGAAUCUUGGAGAGGUCAGUGGAAUUCCGAGUGUAGAGGUGAAAUUCGUAGAUAUUCGGAAGAACACCAGUGGCGAAGGCGACUGACUGGACAA